AAGAAGAAGAAAAGAAAAGAAAGAAGAUUCAUAGAUUGGUGACUUUGAUCUAAUCAUCUCUUGGAGGUAAGAUUUGUUUUUAUGGUACUCCUAACUAUUUCUUUAGACAUAGUAUCUUGUAUGUUGAUUGGGUGUAUGUAUUUUGGGGUUUUGGAAUUUACUUGUAGACUAUAGGAUUAGAUUAUUACAUUAUAAAGAAAAGAAUGAUAGAUGCAUCAUGGUGAUCAAUAAUAAUUGUUUAUGUGGUAUAAUAUUUUAUUAGGUUUGUGAGAUUGAGGUGGAUCUUGGUAAUUUGAGAUUAGCUUGGGAAAUAUUAUUUUAGCUGUUUGAGAUUCUGAAGAGUAGAGCUGCGCGGGAUUUUUUUACAUAUGGGAGUGCCGAGAGUCGGACUAUGAUUUAAGUACUUGGAUUAUUUGUUUUGUUAAUGGAUUUUAUUAGUGGAUUUGAUGGAUAAUUUCAUAUGAUAAGAAUAAUUAAUUUUUUU